rnacentral:lncRNA from 1 species
GGAGCGGAUGUCAGUCAAGCUGUGCUUCACGGUGCAGGGGUUCCCCACCCCCGUGGUGCAGUGGUAUAAAGACGGCAGCUUGAUCUGCCAGGCCGGGGAGCCGGGCAAGUACAGAAUUGACAGCAAGUACGGCGUGCACACACUGGAGAUCAACAGGUAAGCGCCCAGACGCCUGCCCAGGUGGUCAGGCCCCAAACACGGGAGCAGAGGCCAGCUCACUCCACGUUCCGCACGGCGCUCCUGGAGCUUCUGAGUUAACUAUUGGCGGGAGACACAAGUGUCCCUCCGUCUCCCUGGUGGCAGCUGAGGGGUGUGGACCCGAGCUCUGCCCAGGCUUCUGCUUUGGACACAAAGGGAUUAGGUGGUUUAGACGGUUUAUCAAAGGACGACGGCAGCCAGUCCAGGUGUGAGGCCACAGGGAAAGCUGAGAUGCCCUCAUGCCCGCCCACCAGCCGGGCUGAAUCUUCUCCCAGGUUUGGGCCACAAUCCCUAAGCUCCACUCUUCAAGGAAACGCGACUUUUUUUUUCUCACGACAAAUUGGAAACGUGUAAUAAAUACAGGUGGGCUUCCCAGGCGGUGCUGGUGGUAAAAAAUCCAUCUGCCAGUGCAGGAGACCUAGCAGGCUCAGGUUCG